rnacentral:rRNA from 1 species
GAUGAACGCUGGCGGCGUGCCUAACACAUGCAAGUCGAGCGAUUCUCUUCGGAGAAGAGCGGCGGACGGGUGAGUAACGCGUGGGUAACCUGCCCUGUACACACGGAUAACAUACCGAUAGGUAUGCUAAUACGAGAUAAUAUACUUUUAUCGCAUGGUAGAAGUAUCAAAGCUUUUGCGGUACAGGAUGGACCCGCGUCUGAUUAGCUAGUUGGUAAGGUAACGGCUUACCAAGGCGACGAUCAGUAGCCGACCUGAGAGGGUGAUCGGCCACAUUGGAACUGAGACACGGUCCACACUCCUACGGGAGGCAGCAGUGGGGAAUAUUGCACAAUGGGCGAAAGCCUGAUGCAGCAACGCCGCGUGAGCGAUGAAGGCCUUCGGGUCGUAAAGCUCUGUCCUCAAGGAAGAUAAUGACGGUACUUGAGGAGGAAGCCCCGGCUAACUACGUGCCAGCCGCCGCGGUAA